GUGAGGAAUUUUGGACAAUGGGCGCAAGCCUGAUCCAGCAAUGCCGCGUGCAGGAAGAAGGCCUUCGGGUUGUAAACUGCUUUUGUACGGAACGAAACGGUCCUGGUUAAUACCUGGGGCUAAUGACGGUACCGUAAGAAUAAGCACCGGCUAACUACGUGCCAGCAGCCGCGGUAAUACGUAGGGUGCGAGCGUUAAUCGGAAUUACUGGGCGUAAAGCGUGCGCAGGCGGUGCUGUAAGACAGGCGUGAAAUCCCCGGGCUCAACCUGGGAAUUGCGCUUGUGACUGCAGUGCUGGCGUACGGCAGAGGGGGAUGGAAUUCCGCGUGUAGCAGUGAAAUGCGUAGAUAUGCGGAGGAACACCGAUGGCGAAGGCAGUCCCCUGGGCCUGUACUGACGCUCAUGCACGAAAGCGUGGGGAGCAAACAGGAUUAGAUACCCGAGUAGUCC
rnacentral:rRNA from 1 species